CCUGAGCAGGUAUAUCAGCAGAGCCCAUGGGAGCCCAGAUUCACCACUGUCCUUCAGGGCUCAAAGUGUUGUCCUCCUGAACCAGUUUCUCCAAACCCUGUAAAAGUGCUGGGGUACAGCAAAAAAAUGAAGGACAAGAUAGAAGCCAUGGUGGUUUAAAUGACAUAUGCAGCUCCUGGAGAAUCC